CAAUAUGCCGGCUCCUGGCAGAUGGGGGUCAGUCCCUCUCCUUGGUGGAGACCCGAGUCCAGACUGGGGGCUGUUUCCCGGGUAGCUAUUAGGGAUCAAAUAAGGAAGGAAGGGGAAGAGAAUUGGACCCUUCUCUGCGCCUUUGUGCAAGCCCUCCGCCUGGCUGUGCAUUCUUCGGGCUCUGCACCAGCCCUCCUUCCUUCUGGCGUACUUGUCCUUGUGUGCCUUUUACACGUGGGGAGCUGAGGCUCCUAGUGCGGGUCAGCCAAGGUCAUGCCUGACCCAGGCCGGAUGACUAGGGAAUCCACUAAGCUUUAAGGACCCGCCAGGCUCCCUGCUCAGUUCACGGGGUCCGCUGGCGACGGUCAGCUGGGCCGGACGCAGAGAAAGAGUUUUGGAUGAAGUAGAAGGAGGACACAGCAUGUUCCCUCUAAACAGUGCGUCCCUACUUGGAGAAGAGAGUUGAAAGUUUUGCAGUAAUUGUUCAAAGAGGGCGUGAUCAGCAUCAAACAUUCUUCUGAAUGGUUGGUGGUGAGGCUCUCCUGUGUUUCCUCUCAUGGCCACAGC